rnacentral:rRNA from 1 species
CCUACGGGUGGCAGCAGUAGGGAAUAUUGCUCAAUGGGGGAAACCCUGAAGCAGCAACGCCGCGUGGAGGAUGACGGUUUUCGGAUUGUAAACUCCUUUUUUUAGAGAAGAUAAUGACGUUAUCUAUAGAAUAAGCACAGGCUAAAUCCGUGCCAGCAGCACCGGUACUACGGAGGGUGCAACCGUUACUCGGAAUCACUGGGCGUUAUGCGCGCGUAUGCGGGAUAGCAAGUCAGAUGUGAAAUCCUAUGGGUUAACCAUAGAACUGCAUUUGAAACUGUAGUUCUAGAGUAUGGGAGAGGUAGGUGGAAUUCUUGGUGUAGGGGUAAAAUCCGUAGAGAUCAAGAGGAAUACUCAUUGCGAAGGCGACCUGCUAGAACAUAACUGACGCUGAUGCGCGAAAGCGUGGGGAGCAAACAGGAUUAUAUACCCCAGUAGUC